UGCGGAUUGAUGUAAUAGUAACAUAACUGGUUCAUGCCCAGCAUCUGGGGGUGCAAAUCCUCUGUCCGCAA
rfam:Lasallia pustulata genome assembly, contig: scaffold89_size55578